AAGGGUAAAAGUGGAAUUGGAUAAAAGAGGCCAAAGGGAGAACUCAGAGUUUUCACGUGUUGUUGCCUCAGAGUCAGAGAAAGGGGAGAAACGCUGAAGAGAAAGAGAAGGAAGAGGAAAAGGCAAAAGUCUGCUCAGAACUUCCUUCAAUCCAAAGAGGUAAGGGGUCUGAACCUUAUUAAACGAUAAUAUGCUGAAAAUGGUGACAUAUUGGAUGAACAAAAU
rnacentral:lncRNA from 1 species